ACUACUCCUCUGACAUCGUAUAUAGUUAUUACAAUACCACUGACCAUGUUCCCUCUACUGUACUUUACAUCCCAUAACCAAAGCUUUUCUUUAACUGGUUAGUUUUGAUCAAAGAGGUAACCCCUGAGCUGGAGGGCUGAUGUUUGUUUCUGGAGGCUGUUCAGAAUGGUUCUCCUCUGAAGGCAUCUCCUGACCUUGAAGUUGGCGCUUGGAAAGCUGUCUACCUGAGUGGUUAGGCUAACUAGUCACAUUCCCAAAUAUCCAGAGGGGUGCAGAAGCUCUGAGGACCCACCUAUCUGCAGAGUUCAGCCCACCCAAGGUUCUGGAUUUUAUUAUUGGCCCAGAGUUAUUUUAAAGCUUCCAUUUAAAAUAGUUGCAAUGAGGUUUAAAGAUGCAAAUCUCCACACCAGGGGUUGCAUACUGAUGGCUCACAGGAUACACCUGGCUUGCAGCCACCUUUGUGGACAUAAAAGUGCCUCCCCUUGCAAGAUGUACCACAAACAGCUCAGGAAUCGCCCACUGUUCUCUGAGCCUAGUGGCUUCAUUAAAGUAUCCAGAUAAGCAAACCAGUGGAACCGAACAGGAGCUGAACAUAUCUGUGAGGCUUCACUACUCUUUCAAGAUUGAAAAGUGCAAGACAAGAGGUCUGAGCCUGCUCCCAGAUAUUUGGGCUGAAAAAGAUGCAGUCUCUGUUCAGUCACUGAUAGGGGAUCAGCUUUGAGCCAGACAUAGACCUAGAGCUCAACCUAAUGGGACAAAGGGGCAAGGAUGUAACAAACAUCUGGGAAGAAAGGACUAGUUCUGUUUCUUUUGUGGCAGCCAGCCUAAGGCUAUACACAAUAAACACUUAUUCAUAAUACAAAGAGUGGAGAGCUGGAGUCCAUUCCCGGAUCUGGCGCUAUCUUAACUGUGUGACCUUGAACAAGUGUGAUCUUUCCAGACUUGAAGUUUCUUGCCAAAACAGUGAAGGUUGUACUAGUUGUGUUUUUUUGUUAACCAUAUAAGGAUUAUGCAUUCAUUUACAAAAACUUGGAGAAAAAUAAAAUCAUCCAUAAAGGUGA